rnacentral:rRNA from 1 species
AUUGAACGCUGGCGGCAUGCUUUACACAUGCAAGUCGGACGGCAGCACAGAGAAGCUUGCUUCUUGGGUGGCGAGUGGCGAACGGGUGAGUAAUAUAUCGGAACGUACCGAGUAAUGGGGGAUAACUAAUCGAAAGAUUAGCUAAUACCGCAUAUUCUCUGAGGAGGAAAGCAGGGGACCUUCGGGCCUUGCGUUUUUCGAGCGUCCGAUAUCUGAUUAGCUAGUUGGUGGGGUAAAGGCCUACCAAGGCGACGAUCAGUAGCGGGUCUGAGAGGAUGAUCAGCCACACUGGGACUGAGACACGGCCCAGACUCCUACGGGAGGCAGCAGUGGGGAAUUUUGGACAAUGGGCGCAAGCCUGAUCCAGCAAUGCCGCGUGUCUGAAGAAGGCCUUCGGGUUGUAAAGGACUUUUGUCAGGGAAGAAAAGGAUGUUGAUAAUAUCAAUAGCUGAUGACGGUACCUGAAGAAUAAGCACCGGCUAACUACGUG